UGGGGAAUAUUGGACAAUGGGCGAAAGCCUGAUCCAGCCAUGCCGCGUGUGUGAAGAAGGUCUUCGGAUUGUAAAGCACUUUAAGUUGGGAGGAAGGGCAGUAAGCGAAUACCUUUCUGUUUUGACGUUACCGACAGAAUAAGCACCGGCUAACUCUGUGCCAGCAGCCGCGGUAAUACAGAGGGUGCAAGCGUUAAUCGGAAUUACUGGGCGUAAAGCGCGCGUAGGUGGUUCGUUAAGUUGAAUGUGAAAGCCCCGGGCUCAACCUGGGAACUGCAUCCAAAACUGGCGAGCUAGAGUAGGGCAGAGGGUGGUGGAAUUUCCUGUGUAGCGGUGAAAUGCGUAGAUAUAGGAAGGAACACCAGUGGCGAAGGCGACCACCUGGGCUCAUACUGACACUGAGGUGCGAAAGCGUGGGGAGCAAACAGG
rnacentral:rRNA from 1 species